AAAAUUGUCGUCCUCAGCCGAAAGCAGCGCAUGGAUGAAAUCUGGAGGGAUUUCGGAGAAACGUAAAGGCGAGCGCCGCAUUUCUCCAAAUUCGGCGAUCAGCUUUCCAUCUGCGCUGUAAAUGCGAAGGGGGAUCUGCAACUGCACGUUCCGCAGGGCAUCUACCGAGGGUAGGCUCGGGCUAAGGUAGAGGAAGGCGCCGCUAAGCCCAAGAAAGACGCUGCAGACGAUGCCAAGACAAGACCACCAGAUAAAUUUUAACAAACGCAUUGGAUAUGGCUUUUUCAGCUAU
rfam:Pseudomonas sp. HPB0071 genomic scaffold aczIi-supercont1.1, whole genome shotgun sequence.